AUUGAACGCUGGCGGCAGGCCUAACACAUGCAAGUCGAGCGGCAGCGGGAAAGUAGCUUGCUACUUUUGCCGGCGAGCGGCGGACGGGUGAGUAAUGCCUGGGAAAUUGCCCAGUCGAGGGGGAUAACAGUUGGAAACGACUGCUAAUACCGCAUACGCCCUACGGGGGAAAGCAGGGGACCUUCGGGCCUUGCGCGAUUGGAUAUGCCCAGGUGGGAUUAGCUAGUUGGUGAGGUAAUGGCUCACAAAGGCGACGACCCCUAGCUGGUCUGAGAGGAUGGUCAGCCACACUGGAACUGAGACACGGUCCAGACUCCUACGGGAGGCAGCAGUGGGGAAUAUUGCACAAUGGGGGAAACCCUGAUGCAGCCAUGCCGCGUGUGUGAAGAAGGCCUUCGGGUUGUAAAGCACUUUCAGCGAGGAGGAAAGGUUGAUGCCUAAUACGUAUCAACUGUGACGUUACUCGCAGAAGAAGCACCGGCUAACUCCGUGCCAGCCGCCGCCGUAA
rnacentral:rRNA from 1 species